rnacentral:rRNA from 1 species
UACAGAGGGUGCGAGCGUUGUCCGGAAUCACUGGGCGUAAAGGGCGCGUAGGUGGUGGCUUAAGCGUGCGGUGAAAGCUCGGGGCUCAACUCCGAGUCGGCCGUGCGAACUGGGCUCACUGGAGCAUAGUAGAGGCAGGUGGAAUUCCGGGUGUAGCGGUGGAAUGCGUAGAGAUCCGGAAGAACACCGGUGGCGAAGGCGGCCUGCUGGGGCUAUGGCUGACACUGAGGCGCGACAGCGUGGGGGGAGCAAAACAGG